GCCGUAGCUCAGUGGUAGAGCACCUGCUUUGCAUGCAGAAGGUGCCAGGUUCGAUCCCCAUCAUCUCCA